GGCCAGUCAUCAAAUCAUUUGUCAGGAGGACAGAAUGCCCCAAACCCCUCAGACUUUCUGGGGCUCUUUUCAACCGUAGCAGCUGCUAGGCCAACGUGGGAGGGAAGACCUGGGGUUGAGGCUCUGGGUGGAGGGCAGGUGGUCCUGCCUGCUCUAUCUAUACUUAGCCUGGAGGAGCCAGUCUGGGCUCUUGACCUCCAGCUGUGUCAUCAGAGAAUAUUUUUGGGAUUGGCAGCUGCAGGCGACAAAGUCACUCAGGCCCAAGCCUGGCCGGCAGUUGGAGACCUGGCUGCUGGAGGUGGGAGGGAGGAGGGGAAAGAGGCCCAGAGGCCCAGGCUGUGGGAGGGGGCUGGGAGAGGCUCCUAAGAGCAGGAAGCCAGGCCGCGGGCCGUCUAGGCUGUAGGGCCCCUCGCUGCGCAGGCAAACAGGAAGGACUGCCCCCUGAGUUCUGGGCUCGGGGCCCGGGAAUUGCCGCGCAGCAGGGCUGCAGCCUGGGUCCAGGAUAAGGAGACGAGCAGGCACCAGCGGUCACAGGAGUCCCACCGGUCCCUGAUCCCCCUCCGCCACGCCCUGGUCUCUGCUCCCGGCCUUCCCGCGCUCCCAGGCAGGCCAUCUGCAGCGGCCG
rnacentral:lncRNA from 1 species